rnacentral:rRNA from 1 species
UACGUAGGGUGCGAGCGUUAAUCGGAAUUACUGGGCGUAAAGCGUGCGCAGGCGGUUUUGUAAGCCAGAUGUGAAAGCCCCGGGCUCAACCUGGGAAUGGCAUUUGGGACUGCAAGGCUUGAGUGCGGCAGAGGAGACUGGAAUUCCUGGUGUAGCAGUGAAAUGCGUAGAUAUCAGGAAGAACACCCGUGGCGAAGGCGGCUCUCUGGGACGGUACUGACGCUGAGACGCGAAAGCGUGGGGAGCAAACAGG